rnacentral:rRNA from 1 species
AUUGAACGCUGGCGGCAGGCCUAACACAUGCAAGUCGAACGAGUGGCGGACGGGUGAGUAAUGUCUGGGAAACUGCCUGAUGGAGGGGGAUAACUACUGGAAACGGUAGCUAAUACCGCAUACCAUCGGAUGUGCACAGAUGGGAUUAGCUAGUAGGUGGGGUAACGGCUCACCUAGGCGACGAUCCCUAGCUGGUCUGACAGGAUGACCAGCCAGAUUGGAACUGAGACACGGUCCAGACUCCUACGUGAGGAAGCAGGGGGGAAUAUGGCAAAAUGGGGGCAAGCAUGAUGCAGCCAUGCCGCGUGUAUGAAGAAGGCCUUCGGGUUGUAAAGUACUUUCAGCGAGGAGGCGUUACCCGCAGAAGAAUCACCGGCUAACUCCGUGCCAGCAGCCGCGGUAAUAC